AUUGAACGCUGGCGGCGGGCUUAACACAUGCAAGUCGAGCGAGCGGCGGACGGGUGAGUAAUGUCUGGGAAACUGCCUGAUGGAGGGGGAUAACUACUGGAAACGGUAGCUAAUACCGCAUACCAUCAGAUGUGCCCAGAUGGGGUUAGCUAGUAGGUGGGGUAAUGGCUCACCUAGGCGACGAUCCCUAGCUGGUCUGAGAGGAUGACCAGCCACCUUGGAACUGAGACACGGUCCAGACCCCGACGGGAGGAAGCAGUGGGGAAUAUUGCACAAGGGGCGCAAGCUUGAUGCAGCCAUGCGGCGGGUGUGAAGAAGGCCUUCGGGUUGUAAAGCACGUUCAGCGAGGAGGCGGUACUCGCAGAAGAAGCACCGGCUAACUCCGUGCCAGCAGCCGCGGUAAUUC
rnacentral:rRNA from 1 species